rnacentral:rRNA from 1 species
CGCGUAUGCAACCUACCUACAACUGGGGGAUAGCCCGGAGAAAUCCGGAUUAAUACCCCAUAAAGCAGGGGUACUGCAUGGUACUAUUUGCUAAAGAUUUAUUGGUUGUAGAUGGGCAUGCGUCUGAUUAGUUAGUUGGUGAGGUAACGGCUCACCAAGACGACGAUCAGUAGGGGUUCUGAGAGGAUGAUCCCCCACACUGGUACUGAGAUACGGACCAGACUCCUACGGGAGGCAGCAGUAGGGAAUAUUGGUCAAUGGGCGAGAGCCUGAACCAGCCAUGCCGCGUGCAGGAUGACGGCCUUCUGGGUUGUAAACUGCUUUUACCAGGGAAGAAAAGGGUGAUGCGUCACCGAUUGACUGUACCUGGGGAAUAAGCACCGGCUAACUCCGUGCCAGCAGCCGCGGUAAUACGG